AGAAGCUACAAAGAGCGCAUGAUGGAUGCCUUGGCGCCAGCAGGCGAUGAAGGACGUGAUAAGCUGCGAUAAGCCGCGGUGAGCCGCAAAUAGGCCUCGACCCGCGGAUUUCCGAAUGGGGUAACCCAUUCCGGGUAAUGCCGGAAUACCUGCGUGUGAAUCCAUAGCACGCCGGAGCGACACCCGCUGAAGUGAAACAUCUCAGUAAGCGGAGGAAAAGAAAACGAAAGUGAUUCCGCAAGUAGUGGCGAGCGAAAGCGGAACAGCCCAAACCGGGGAGCUUGCUCCCCGGGGUUGUAGGAGCCCGUCGUGGUAGUGCAAAGGUUAGGCGAAGCGGAUGGAAAGCCGCUCCAUAGAGGGUGACAGGCCCGUAACCGAAAACCCGAGCACGCCUAGGGAAUUCCUGAGUAACGCGUCACACGUGAAACGUCGCGUGAACCCGCCCCGACCACGGGGCAAGGCUAAAUACUCGCUGGCGACCGAUAGUGAACAAGUACCGCGAGGGAAAGGUGAAAAGAACCGCUGUGAGCGGAGUGAAAUAGAACCUGAAACCGUGUGCCUACAAGGUGUCAGAGCCCCUUUGGGGGUGAUGGCGUGCCUUUUGCUUAAUGAGUCUGCGAGUUAUUGUUUGUGGCAAGCUUAAGCCCUUCUGGGGUGGAGGCGAAGCGAAAGCGAGUCCGAAAUGGGCGACCCAGGUGCCGGCGCUAGACCCGAAGCGGAGGUGAUCUACCCAUGGCCAGGUUGAAGCCCCGGUAACACGAGGCGAAGGACCGAACCGAUGGACGUUGAAAAGUCCCCGGAUGAGCUGUGGGUAGGAGCGAAAGACUAAUCAAACCCCGUGAUAGCUGGUUCUCUCCGAAAUCGCUUGAGGGCGAGUCUUCUGAAAGUACCCGGCGGAGGUAGAGCACUGAAUGGCUUAGGGGCCCCACCAGGCUGCCAAAACCAAUCAAACUCCGAAUACCGUCGGUCCCAAUAUCAGAGGAAUCAGGCAGUAGGUGAUAAGAUCAAUUGCCGAGAGGGCAACAGCCCAGACCAUCAGCUAAGGUGCCUAAAUGUGAUUAAGUGGAAAGGAUGUGACGUUGCUUAGACAGUGAGGAUGUUGGCUUAGAGGCAGCCAUCAUUUAAACAGUGCGUAAUAGCUGACUCAUCGAGCGAUGUCGCGCCGAAAAUGAUUGGCGAUCAAACGUAGUACCGAAGCUAUGGAUUCAACUGGUUCUCGAAUCGGUUGAGUGGUAGGGGAGCGUUCCAAAUACAUCGAAGGUGGAAGGUGACUGAAACUGGAGUGUUUGGAAGUGAGAAUGCAGACACGAGUAGCGAUAAAGUCGGUUAAAUUCCGACUCGCCGUAAACCCAAGGUUUCCUGGGGCAGGUUCGUCCACCCAGGGUUAGUCGGGAGCUAAGACGAGGCCGUAAGGCGUAGUUGAUGCACAGCAGGUCAACAUUCCUGCACUGCAUCCGGUUAAGCACGGCAGUGACGCGGAUACCAGGGUGAUUAUCCUACUGAAUCGGGAGCUGCGGCUUCGGCCAAAGCGCAUCACCGAAAGUACCGCCAAGAAAAGCUGCUGUUCGUUCCCGGGUGCACCCGUACCGUAAACCGACACAGGUGGGUGAGUGUCAGUGCACUCAGGCGCGCGAUAGAAACCUCUCUAAGGAACUCGGCACAUUGACCCCGUAACUUCGGGAUAAGGGGUGCCCUGAUUGCACAUAAAUGUGAAAUCGAGGGCCGCAGUAAAUAGCGCUUAGCGACUGUUUAACAAAAACACAGCACUCUGCAAAGUCGUGAAGACGACGUAUAGGGUGUGACACGUGACCAAUGCGGAAAGAUUAAAACAUUGGGUUAGCCGCAAGGCGAAGCUCGGUGUCCAAGUCCCCGUGAAUGUCGGCCGUAACUAUAACGGUCCUAAGGUAGCGAAAUUCCUUGUCGGGUAAGUUCCGACCUGCACGAAUCGUGUAACGACUUGAGCGCUGUCUCAACGAGGAUCUCGGUGAAAUUGUAGUCCAGAGGAAAGUGUCUGGUACCCGCAGUAGGACGGAAAGACCCUGUGAACCUUUACUGUAAUCUGAUAUGGGGUUCUGGUUCUUCAUAUGUAGCAUAGCUGGGAGGCUGCGAAGCCUGGCCGUCAGGUCAGGUG
rnacentral:rRNA from 1 species